AGCCUUCUUCCAAUUGAAGGUUUAAAUAAUUAGUUGUUUUUUUUGUUUUAGCCCAAAGGUAUAUUACUGUGCUAUUAGGUGAUUUAAUUUUGUUUCCCUUUUUUUUUCUACAUAAAGAUGAAAAAUGUUUCUUUUUGUCUUAGUGAUGUCAAAGACACCAGUGACUUCAAGCUUGAAAUACACUGUUGUUCCAUCUCCACAUCAGAUGAAAUCCAUUGCAGAAUGGUUGAAAUCAGACCCAUAUUUCCAAGAAUAAGUUCAGGUUUCUUGAUGGUUUUCUCCCUGCUCCGACAAAUUUGAUCUGAGCUAUAAUGACUCUCAAUAAUCUAACUAUCACAUUUUUGGAUCUUGAACUCUGCAAGUCCUCCAUCGCCAACACCAUUCCAAGGUUUGGUGAAUUCGAAGAGAAAUGUUUGCAGCUAGAAGUUUAUCCAUUCAAGCAAGGUCUAUUAGUUCUGUAACAACCCACUUGUUUUUUUUUAUACUUCAAAGGCAUAAAUACCCAACUUUGCUUAUCAAUUUUUUAUUGCCUAGGUACUUGGAUCAAUAUAAUUUAAUUGCUAUUAGUAUUACCAUUAUCAUAUUAAAUAAUAAUAUCUCUCAUGAUAUUUUUUUUCAAGAGUUGUUGAUACUAAUACUAUGCUAGUGUGUGUGUGUGUCUGUGUGAUGGAAUCGGAGAGUAUUGAAUAUGAGACAAGGGAAAAUGAAGUAUUAAUGCAUCAUAGACAAAAUAUAUUUAUUAAUAUAGUUGAAAGCUAGCUAGUGCCUGUUAUCCUUUCUUUCUUUGUUCUGCAUUUGAGCUAAGCAAUUGUCAAAUGAGUAAAAUGAAAGAAAUGAAAUUAAUACACCUCAAGUCCCCUAAUUAUAAUUAACAUAAUGUUCAUAAAUAUCUUAGUUUAUGUAGUAUUUGAUGAUUGAAUUGGAGAAUUUAAUUAAUCAAAUAUAAAUUUUAUAAGUGAAAUAUUAUUGUAUUUUUGCUAGCACUAAAAAUACAAAUAAUAUAUAGGACAAAACUUAUAUGCUGUACCAUAUGUCCUGUUUUUACUCUUACCCAAUUAUAAUACAACACCUGUAACAUAUAUUCCACGUCACACGUUUUCUCUUAACCCUUAUUUUUCCGUUAAUUGGCUUGGUCUUUCUCUCUCGAUUGCAGGUACUCAUAAAAAACAAAGGCUAAUCAUCACAUUAAUAAAGAAAAACUCAAUCUCAAAUACUAUUAACAUAAAAUUAAUCAAGGAAAUAAAUAAUCAAGAUAACAGGCUAACUUGAUUAUAAUACUCCUCCUUCUAAUCAAUUAUCUUUUCUUGACUUCAAAAUUGAAUUUAAACAAAAUCCCCAAAUGGCAUGGAAUUCCCCAGAUCUCAGUCAAAUUGAGCUAGCUAGUGCCUGUUAUCCUUUCUUUCUUUGUUCUGCAUUUGAGCUAAGCAAUUGUCAAAUGAGUAAAAUGCAAGAAAUGAAAUUAAUACACAUCAAGUCCCCUAAUUAUAAUUAACAUAAUGUUCAUAAAUAUCUAGCUCUAUUUCAAGUUUUAGAUGGAUCGAUGCUUGGUAGAAGAACUGGGUCUGGAACAAGAGCUGCAUUGAAAUUUGGGCCAAACUAUUGGCACCCCCACUUUUUGCAUCUACUCAUUUAAAUAUUUGAGUGGAAGUGGAUAUAGUUAGAUAUUUCAUCCAUUUUCACUGUGUAACCAGUGCAGAGAUUUUGGAUCUAUAAAACAUAGAAAAAUGAUGAAUGAAAUAAUUGUAAUGGUACUGAAAAAAGAUCAAUUAUUUCUUCAACCAUAGAAGCAGAAGAAAUCAAAAGAAAGCGACGUAGAUGAUCGGCGGGCCUGGUUUGUGUGUACCUUCAUGGGAGUCAGCAUCAUAAUCAACCCCACAGUUUGGUUGUUGAGCUAAAACCAAUGUAUUUGACAAACCUAUUGUACAUGCAUGAAUGAUAGUGAAAGAGAAAAAUUGCAAGUCACUACCAUGAAAAAGAAAUCGAUUCAUCGAGAUGAAAACAUUUUCAUGAUCGCGACAAGUCAUGUAUGGUUGACAUAAAUUCUUUUCUUUUCAUAGUCGACAUGUUGGUUUAACUUUUUUACUAAGAGCUUAUUGAAAGAGCUGGCAAAUGGGGCACAAUGUUGUUUAUUUGACAUUACUAUGAGAACUCUUUGAAUGAAGGGUUUGAGAAUAAUUAAGAGUGCUUCUAAGUUGGACCAUUAUAGCUAGAGAUGUUAUGGGUAUGCAUGAAUCAGAAUUUGAAAGUCUAUAUCUAAUGGUCCAUACAUAAGCUGCAUGUGUAAUUUCUUAUCCAAUUUUUUCAUGUGUUUGUCGGCAAAGGUUGUAGCAGUUAAUGUCACAAACUUGCUUUACUCUUAAACCUCACAUAAAAUGAUCGAAGUCAAUGUGGUAAAAUUGAAGAUUGCCAUUUGUUACCAAGAAAUAAGCGUAGCUAUCACUAAGAAGCUUGUAGAAACAAAACUUGAACCUAUGUAACCUGGUUCAAGUGGGUAAGAGCUUUACCAAUCAACAUAUCGUUUGAGAAAACUCGAGUUUGAUUUUUGGGAGAAACAAUUUCUUGAUCAAAUUUUACUUAUUUUACGAUUGAAUUCGGAAUUACUAGAUCAAUUUUCUUAGGAAUCAAGGGUUAACAAAAAAAAAAUUUGGAACCUAUAUAUAUAUAUAUAUAUAUAUUACUCAAAUGUUACACCAGUGUAAUUUGAUCCCUCCCAUAUAUAUAUGGGUUUGCUAACUUAGAGCUUCACACUUAGAUCCACCUAAAAACAUGAAGGUCUAAGUUAGCAAGGUGCACAUUUUCACUUUGGACAAAAAAACUUUGACAUUUAGUUAUUUUACACUAGAAAAUUGAGGAUUAGUUAGGUAAAUUUUAUUAAAUGUUGGUGCGCUCAUUUGCUAAUUUACACCUACUUAAUUAUAANNNNNNNNNNNNNNNNNNNNNNNNNNNNNNNNNNNNNNNNNNNNNNNNNNNNNNNNNNNNNNNNNNNNNNNNNNNNNNNNNNNNNNNNNNNNNNNNNNNNNNNNNNNNNNNNNNNNNNNNNNNNNNNNNNNNNNNNNNNNNNNNNNNNNNNNNNNNNNNNNNNNNNNNNNNNNNNNNNNNNNNNNNNNNNNNNNNNNNNNNNNNNNNNNNNNNNNNNNNNNNNNNNNNNNNNNNNNNNNNNNNNNNNNNNNNNNNNNNNNNNNNNNNNNNNNNNNNNNNNNNNNNNNNNNNNNNNNNNNNNNNNNNNNNNNNNNNNNNNNNNNNNNNNNNNNNNNUUGAUCAAAUUUUACUUAUUUCACGGUUGAAUUCGGAAUUAUUAAACCAGUUUUCUUAGGAAUCAAGGGUUAACAAAAAUAAUAAUUUAGAACCUAUAUAUAUAUGAGUUUGCUAACUUAAACCCACAUAAAAACAUGAAGAUUUAAGUUAGUAAGGUGCACCUUUUUACAUUGGACAAAAAAAACUUGACAUUUAGUUAUUUUACACUAGAAAAUUGAGGGUUAGUUAGGUAAAUUUUAUUAAAUGUUGGUGCACUCAUUUGCUAAUUUACACCCACUUAAUUAUAAAUAUAUGCAAUCUAAAUAAACAACAUAGGAAAUCAAAAAAUGACAACUUAAGAAAACAUAUUACUCAACUUUGAAAAGGUGCACUUUGUUAACUUAGACUUUCAUGUUAAAACAUCCGAUCAGUUUUACUAAACAACCUUUGGCUUGAAACUAUAUUAAAAUAGUAAAAAAUGGUAUUUUUGUCUAAAAUGAAAAGGUGCACCUUGCUAACUUAGACCUUCAUGUUUUUAGGUGGGUCUAAGUUAGCAAACCCCAUGAUCCUAAAUUACAUAUAUAUAUAUAUAUAAAAUAAAAAUGUGUUCAUGUGAGCUACUUUGGUUGUUUGAACUUCAAAAACAAAAUGAACUUUAUUUAAACAUAAUGAAUUCAUGAUCCUAAAUUAGAACCACCAAUUUAUCUAAAUAUUAUGCUUUGAAAUUUAUCGGUGUAAAUUGAGUAUUGUAAUAUGAGAUAUAAAACCUCAACAAUAAAUUAGUUUAAGUAGCAAGAGUAUCGAUUCUCUUAACCAAAUUGUAAGGAAUUCGAUUUUUAACUCUUUAUGAAGGAGAAAAUUCAAUUGACAAUUCAGAAAUUUUCUUGUGUUCCACAUAUUCUCUCAAUUUGAACCAAUGACAUAUUAAAAAAAAAAAUUAUAAAAAAAUAUAUGAGGAUGAUUUCUAGGAUGAAGGUUUGUUCCUCACCACUAAAGCAGACAAAAGACACCAUUGUUUAAUGGUUAAGACUUAAGAUUCAUUAAAAAUAAACAUUAUUUUUUUGAGAUAAAAACGGAAAUCGAACAAGACAUCAACGUCAAAUUGAGAAGAUUUUUUUUGGCAAAAUGAAAUUGAGAAAAUUGAAAAUGUGUAGAUGGGCCCAGCCCGACCCAGUUAAGAAUAGACAUCCAUUGUUUUCACUUUUUUUUUUGAUUCGCUUAUCUGAUCCCAUCACUAUUUCAACCAAUCAGAAGUUGCCAUGUCUAAAUAAGACCAUUCACUUCACGUGUGUGUGACCCUUUAUCAUGGAGUGAGUUUUGGCCGGAUUUUUUUUUUCUUUUCUAUUUAGAGCUUAUACAAAUAACUUAUAUAAUUUUUAUAUAUUAUUGUAAGUUUGUCAAAGUAAUUUAUGAUAGAAUAGCUUAUAAAAUUAUAAUUUUCACUAGUGUAAACUUAUAAAAUAACAUAAAACUUAAUUUAUAUUGCAUAAGUUAUUUGUAUAAGCUAAAAAAAACUAAGUCAAACGGACCCUAACUAUAGGAAGCCCGCGGACACUACUCGAUUGGUUUUUGGAGAAUUGGUUUUUUGUGUUUUUUAAAAAUGAAAUUGAAUCAAUUAUCAUCAUAUACCAUACAUAAAAGAAAAGACAUAUAGUUAAUGUAGUUAUUGGUUGGUUUGGUUUAUCGGUUUUUUUUAUAAAUUUUUUUUAUAAGUAAUGUUAUGUUGGUUUUUCUCCUUUGUCAGGACUUAAUCUUGAACCUCAUGCUUCUUAAUCCUUAGCUCAACUAGCUUAACCAGUUGAGCUACUCAUCCUACCCCGGUUCAUCGGUUCUUAAAAACUGAACCUGAGAACCGAACCAAACCACAUCGAUUUUUAGAUCCGAAUCAUAAAAAUCAAUUUUUUCACAGUUUGGAUUGGUUUGGAUCAUCAUUUCAAUUGAAUUUUUCUGACCGAUUACACCUCUACUAUUUAAGCAUCUUAAAUAAUAACUUUUUAUAAAAAUUUCAUGAAAAUGUGUGAAAUUAAGACAUUAAAAAUUGAAAUGACACUCGUUAGCAAGACAAAAAAAUUUAUAUUUAUCUAUUUUCUAUCUAAUUGAAUUCUAAAAAUAUUUUAAUUUCCUUCAUGAAUUAUUAGAAACCGAUUCAUCCGAUUCACAUUUUAAUUAAUCUUCAGGUUCUAGUCCGAAGCUAAUAAUGAAUGUGGAGAAACUUCAUCUUAUAUUAUAGUACCCUUAACUAUAAAUACGAACAUGAUUUAAAAGUAUCAAUGUAUCUUGUAAAAUAUAUAUAUAUAUAUAUAUGGGGGCUGCUAACUUAGACCCAGUUGGGUCUAAGUUAGCAAGGUGCACCUUUUUAGUUGGACCAAAAUACCCAUUCUUUUUAAUUAAUUAACCAAAUUACCAUCAAUGGACGNNNNNNNNNNNNNNNGAGGUUAGACAUGCGUAUAAAUUUAAAAAUAGAUAUUUUAGUUGCUGUUGGAGUUUUUCAUCCAACUAACUCAUUUUAGUUUCAACAAUUGAUCAUUGGAUAGUAUAAUGAUUAAAAAAAUUGUAGACAUCAGCAUAAUCUAAAUAUAUAAUUUUUUCAAAAGAUUUUUUUUAAGAAGUUAAAAUGAGAUAUAUUAAUAAACAGCCUCCUCAGCACAAAGUGUGUCAAGAUAGACUAUACCAAAGUUUACAAAAAGUCAUAGAAAGAAAAAAUCAAUCAUACAAGGCCCAAACAUAACAAAGGACAAGACCACCAUCUAUGGUGGUUUGAGAUCAAAGUAACACUCGCCGUCUUCAACCACCUAUAAGAAAAGAGUUUAAUCUUAUCCAACAUCUGAUAAAGAGUACUAGUCGAGUCUCUGAACAAUCUCUGGUUGCGUUCUGUCCACACAACCCAAACACUAGCAAGCCAAAUGAGCUGCAAAGAAGACCGACGUGCUCUAGUCCCACCGGCUGAGGAAGUAAAUUGUACAAAAUAAUUCCGAAUAGAAGUAGAACCCGACAGUGAAAUGUCAAUCCAAGUGCAAACUAGAGCCCAAAGAGAUCCAAACGUGCCGCAGGAGAUAAAUAAGUGUUGAGCCGUCUCAGCCUCUCCACAUCUAGAUACGCAAAAGUGCGCUGCAAAAAAGAUAAGAUUUGACAAAAUAAAUAAAUUAUUAGAGGUAGCAAUUGGAUACAGCAUUGUUAUUAAAUUAUUAGUUGUACUUUGUACCCCAAAAAAUUAAUUUAUUACUUGUACUUCAUGUUAAAGGAAGAAAGGAAAAUGCAACAUAUUUGACCAAGCAUUAUUUAGGGAGGAAGACGUGAGCUUGAUCAUAAGAUAAUGAAAGUUACCAAAUUAAGAGAAGUUAGUAAAUGCAAUAGGAAAUGUAAAUAUGAUGGGGAGCAUGUGAGCAUGCAGCUAGGUGCAAGCAAUAUGCCUCAUCAGAAUUCAGACUCUGACUCUUGAGAGCAAUAUGCAACUCAUGCUAAUAANNNNNNNNNNNNNNNNNNNNNNNNNNNNNNNNNGAUGAGACAAAAAUAUUAGGCAACUUUGUUUUCUUUAUCCACAAAUCUUAUUAGCUCUAUGCUAGAUUUCAAACAAAGUUUUAUAUUCCAAACCUCUCCACUAGGUUGUUAAUACCAACAACAAAUAUUCAUAAUUAGGGCAAGUAUACGGUGAAAGAUCUCGUUAAGUCUUUUACACUGCACAAGUCGAAAAUAUUAUUAUAACAAAUAUGAAUUUUAUAAAAUUUACCGUUGAAUUGAAAGUUUAUAUUACAUUGAUCAUCCAUAAAUUUUUAAAAAAAAUUGAAAAUCAUUUGAUAUGUUAUUAAAACAGAUCAAAAUUAAUGUUUUAUGAGUUUUUAUCGAAUAUUAUCGAUGACUACUAAACAUGGGAGAAGCUUAAGAAUUGUGGUUCCCUAACCUUAAUACAACUGAUAAAGCAUAUAUAAAAAGCAGAGCAGAGAUGCAGGGGACUCUCAUAAGAAAGAGUAAACUUGAGUCAUCAAAUUCCACUACAUAAAAUAAAUUAAAAAUCACAAACUUAAAUCAUCAACUCCACUCCAUUAAGCAUUGAACUUGGAGCAGUUUAAGAUGCAAAAAGUUAAGUAGAUUCCUCAAAGAAUUUACCACCAAGACUUAAACAAGUACUCAUUAGAAAGUGAAACCAUCACUAGGUUAUGAUUAAAACUAUGAUUAACAAAAAAAAAUCUUUGUAAAGAUAGUAAUGAUGCUGUUGAUUAAAAGAUGCUCUAACUUUCACUGCAGUUUUCACUUCAACUUUACAGUGCGCAUGGAAUAUACAUAACCAAAAAGAAGUCAGAACUUUCCACUUAAAAGAAUAAAAAAAAAAGCAGGAAAAAAAGAGAUAGUAUAAUAUUCAAAAUCUAUGCAGCGCAGACAUUCUUUAGAUUAGUCGUAUCUUGGUAUCAGACAACCAUCAAUAUCUGACAACUAAUACUUAUAAUUACAUUAAAUUAUGUUAUUUUUUCAAAUUAGUUAAUGUGUAGUAUCUGUGUUGUGUCAUGUUUGGUGUCUGUGUCCGAGCUUCAUAGUUGAAAAUCAAUUGAGUUGAGAAUUUAGAUUCAAAAUUGUUGUCUGAAUUCUCAUGCUUCCCUUCUGCAAUAAAACACCCAUCAAGCUGACCCAAAAGCCUUAUCUUUUUCAAAAAAACCAUAUUCUAUUGUUCAAAACUGUUAAACCAUAUAUUAUAAUAAUAAAUACCCUUCUCCUACCUUUUUUUUCUUGCAUAAUAAAUGAUCAAAUGCUUAUAUAUAUAUUAUACAAUUUCCUUACAUAAUUGUACAAGUACCAAUAUUUGUUUUAUUGCAAAAGUUUGUACUUUUUAUUCUUCCUAUCUAUAUAAUCUUGUCUUCAACAAACACACACUACAUCAUCAGUACUUGUCUUCCAUAGCAUAUUAAGGUACAAACUUUAUUCUCUCUUCAAUUGUUUUCAAUGUAUUUGGCCAAAGUUCUAACUUUACAGUUGUUUUACAAUAAAACAGUACAUAGAAUUCUGUUUCACAAUCUGACAUGUUUUUCUUUCUUUCCCUUUAUAUCACAAUUUUCAUCCUACUCAAUUAAGGAAUACAGUUAAUGAAUGCUACUAAGUACUAAUCAAGCUGAUUCAAUCAAACAAGGAUUUUGGUGUUCUGGUUUUGGAAGCAACUGGAUCUAGAAUUGGUAAGUUCUUCAAAACUAAAUUUAUAAAUGUUCCGACCUCAAAUCCGCGACACUAUUUUUUGAGGUAUUGUCCACUUUGGACUUUACGAAUCGCCUCCAAUUUUGUUCUUAAUUGAGAGCAGUUGAGGUUGGAACAGUACAUAUACUUUGUACCUAAACAUAAUACAUUAAUUGGAUGUAUAUUCUAGGUAACAUCGACAUUUCAGAUUGAAAGGUCGGACACGACACGUAAACAUGUACCGGUUACACUCAAUAAUUCAAUUUUCUCAAAUUAUUAUUGGUGUCAACGUAUCGGUAUUAACAUAUCAGUGUCGUGUCUGAUGUUCGUGUCUGUGUCAGUGCUUCAUAGUGUAUAUUUAUUUUAUCUGAUAUAUUGUUUUCAACAUGAUAGGCAAAGAGGGAUCAUUUCAUCAUUUCAUCAUUCAACUUUGAAUUAGACCUCUCUCUCUUGGCUUGGUUUCACAUAUCAUUAGAGAUUGUUGUCAAGUUAGUGACUAUAUAUAUAUAUGGAUAGUCUUAGUUGGAAUGAUGACUCACAACUUGUUGCCAACAUACCAAUCUUGUGGAACACUCAACCACAAGACCUUGAAAGAGACUACUCAAUGUCCAAUCCAAGUUCAAGUGUUUUUAAUUAUCAAAUGCAAGAUAUGCAGAAGAUUCAAUCAGAAGCUGAAACCAGUUGGGAAGAAACUUUAAUAUUCCAAUCAUACCCUUCACUUUCAGUCAAUAUCAACACACCUAACAAUUAUGUGCCAGAUUUCAACAUGUCCCAUCAACAAAACAGCAAGAGUACUACUACUGCUACAUGCUCUCUUGAAUCAUCACUUGAUUGUUUGCUUUCAGCAACUACUAAUAGUAACACUGACACUAAUUCUAUUCAAGAUGAUGGAAUUUCCAUGAUUUUUUCUGAUUGCAAAAACAGAAACUCAUGGAACUUCAAUGCAGUUUCUUCUGUUGAAUAUGAGAGUACUAAUGCUAGAAACAAAGACAUGCAGUAUCCAUUCAAGGAAAUAGAGGAAACAUUAUCUCAAAUUUCCUCAGAUAAAGGUAAAAUCAUUGAUUCUAAUUCCAAGGUUCAUUCCACAAAAAGGACUAAGAUUGAUCAAUAUGAUCCUUAUAAUUAUAACUUCAAUAUUACUCAGAAUUCUUCUUCCACUGAAUUUGGUUUCAAGCUUAUCUCAGAGAAACCACCAAAGUCAAAGAAACCAAGAUGGGAUAAUAAGUGUCAAGGUUCAUCAAAUAUCAAUUUCCAGCAACCAAAUUCAUCAAUGUCAUUGUCAAAUUCAUCCAUUCAUGAAGAGCCUGAUCCAGAAGCUAUAGCUCAAAUGAAGGAAAUGAUAUAUAGAGCUGCAGCUUUUAGGCCAGUGAUGAAUUUAGGUUUGGAAGCGGUGGAAAAGCCGAAAAGGAAGAAUGUUAAGAUAUCAAAUGAUCCACAAACUGUGGCUGCAAGACAAAGAAGGGAAAGAAUUAGUGAAAGGAUUAGAGUUUUGCAGAAGAUUGUUCCUGGUGGAACCAAGAUGGACACUGCAUCAAUGCUUGAUGAAGCUGCUAAUUACCUCAAGUUUCUUCGGUCACAAGUUAAAGCACUAGAGAAUCUAGGAAACAAGAUUGAUACAAUGAAGAAUUGUCCUUCUACAAGCAUAGCCUUUUCUUCGAACCCUUCAAAUUCCAUGCAAAGUACUCAUUUUCCCAUCCAAAACCCUAAUGACAACAUCCAAUAUUCUCAGGGUUGAAAUUGUUAUUAUCAAAACUACCGAAAAAAGUUGAAAUAGCAACGGAAAUUUAGAGACGGAAAAAAUGCAAAAUUCGUUUAUGUCACCAAGUGUUAUAGACGCCAAAUUUUGUUACUAGUUAGAUUUUAUUUUGUCUCUUAAUUUUGUGGUUAUUUCAACUUUUUCUGGUAUAUGGAAGGAAAGACCAAAGAUGUAAAAAGGGUCAAAAGAAGAACCCAAUAACCUCUAAUUAUUCAUCCAAUGACAAUGUUUAACAUAUUAUCAUGUUCUAGUUAAAGUUUUAAUUUUGUUCAUUGUCUAUGAUCAUGUAACUUUCUUCAUUAAUAUUAAUUUGUUUAAAUUUACCAUCAAUGACAGUAUUCUCUAGUUUCUACUUGUUAUUAUCAUAAUUAAUUAUGUGCAUUAUGCAUGCAUGAGAUCAUAGGGUGCUUUUGCUUACAUUUACACUACUAUGCUUUUGAUGCAAAUGAAGUAUAAAGAUGGUUAUUACAGUGAAAGUAAUCAAAGUAAAGGAAGUGAGAUUCACAACCUUUUAGCUUACAGAAAGGUCUAGCAAUUAUAACAUCUAUGAUUAUGAUCAAGGGCUAGAAAGGGACUGUCACUUUAAGUUUUCUUCAAAGUAUAGUUUAAUCCAAUCAAUGUACUUUUGUUGUAGUAUUUAUUUAAAUGAGUGAUUUGUAGCAUUGGUUAGCUAAACAAUGCAAGAGACAUUCUCUUAAGACUAGUGUCAGUGGUCCUGUCUCCUAGAUUCAACCCAAAGCGUGCUCUUGAAAAUCACAUUAUGCUUAGCACGUGUAUAUUCUUCUUUUUUGGCAGAACUGUUUGUCAUAACUAGUUUAUCGCAAAAGUCUAUACUUUUCAGAUUCAUUCAAUAACUGAUGUAUUUGGUUUAUAUUAUAAAACAUAUAUCUGCCGCCAAUGCGAGUAACUCUCAUUGAUUCAAUUGAUAAGGAUUCAGCUCACAUCUCAUCAUAAGAACUUAGAUUCGAAUCAGAUCUUUACAUCGAUGGUGGAUAAUAUGUAACAUAUCUUUGUAAGUGUAGCCUGGAGAUUGACCAUGGUGAGCUCGCGAGACUCAAGAAUUUGGACGAUCCAAAAUUUCAAUUUGAAGUUUGAUUUAUUUUUCCAAACCUAAAAUAUUGAAUUUGAAAUCGUACAAUAGAUCCCGAUCCAACAAUGACUGGUGUGUUGACUGCUUGAAUGCGUGAGAUUAUUGACUGCAAGACAUUCGACCGAAUGCAAGACCCAACUUUGCAUAGACUUUUACUAUUUCAUAACAAAAACCUCUCUGCCUUAUGAACAUUAAUUAAUUAUAAAACUAAGUUCUGUAUAUAAGAAUUAUUAGUGUAAUGUAACUAAUGAUAUUGUUAAUGAUGAUGACUAUGAUAAGGACUGCUACAACAAAAUGUGAUGUGGGCUUUGUGCUAUGGUGAUACUAUAAUAGAAAUUAAAUAACAUAUAUAUGUACAUUAUUUUAAUUUGGCUAGAUCGAAUAUCUACACUAAGCACAUGGUUCUGUGUUACUGUAUCUGCAUGUGUCAUAUAUUUCAAGUACAAAAUGAAACCCUUUCGGCCUUUCCUCUGUCAUGCUUGAGAAUCAUUCCUACUUUUUGUUCACCAUUGAUCAUCAAUUAUAUAAAAGACUAAUGCUACCACUAAUUAAUUAUAUAAAUUCUCUCUUCUUUUUGGUCUCAUGUCCAAGUCUAUCAACUAAGUCCUUUUGUUUUACACAGAUGCACAUAGUUGAAAUAUCCAAAAAGACCUUAUAACAAGCAUUAUUUUUUAUUGAAUGGCCUUAUAACAAGCAUUAUUAAUGUCUUGGUUAAGGUAUAAGCUACCAUGUUGGAUUAUCUCAUAGUAAACUUCACAUAAAGAGUUGAAACAAUAAAAAGUAAGUAACCUCUUUCUUUCUUGAAUAAUGGCCCCAAAUUUAGUGUCAUCCAUAGCUAUAUGAUUCAUGUAUAAGACACAUAUAAUGUGGAUAUCCUAUAAAAAUACACUUAGAAAGAUGCAUCAAUGUUGCACUUUACAUAGCUCGUAAGCGAUUUAUAUACCAUCUUCCAUCUUAUGUAUCUGAUAUCUACUCUAUCAACUAAGUCGAAUACAUUCAAACAAAAAAUACUAAAUUUUAUUCCCUCGAAAAUUUAACUGAGACUAAAAAGGUGUCGCGCGCGGGUGUACAAUAAUGUGUGUUCAUGUAUCAUUACUGAUAUAGAAAAUUGACUACCUACACACAAAUGAAGUUUUUUUAUUUUUUUUACGCAAAUUGUGUAUGUUUGGUAUCACGAUGAAUAUAUCAAAAUCUCCAUGAUCCACCAUGAUUUUAGCGUGUAGCGUAUCCACCGAGAUACUAGGCUUAGUUAGUUAAGUAUAUGUAACUUUUAAGUUUUUUCUUCAAACUACCCUUAAUGGUAAUAUUUUAGUGAGUCAUCACACAUAUUAACCAAGAGUAUUCUCAAAUUUUUAUAUUAAACAAGAUUAAGAAUAAAUUAGUUAGCAUGCAUUCAACAAACUAUCCGUACAUUUUAGCUGAUAAAAUGGAUAUUCCCUCCGUUUCAAAUUACUUGUCGUUUUGAUAAUUUUAGGCUAUAUUUUGUCUAUUAUACCCACAUGCAAAUUCCAAAUAUUUAGGAGUAGUUUGUUGAAACCGAAAAAGAUUUAAUAUAUAUUUGGAAAACUCAAGUUUUAUUUUUUAUUUUUUUUGGUACAUAACAUAUUAAUUUUUUUUGUUCAUAACAUAUUAAAUUUAUUGGAAAGAUAAAGUGUGUGAAAAAAAAAUUAUUGGUGAAUUAAAAUAAGUGCAUAAUAUAAAAAUAAGGUGCAAAAAUACACUUUCUUAAUUUCUUGUUUUUUUUUUUUUUCUAAAACGAUAAGUAAUUUGAAACAGAGGAGUAAUACUAAUACUUGACAUAUAAUGAUUUUUUUUUUUUGUACAAAUUUUUUAAAACUCGUAUAAUCAUAUUUCAAAAUUAGAAGAAAUGUUGACCCAUGAAUAUGUUUUUUAAAUAUGCAGCCUUGCUCCUGAAAUUGCAGCUGGUAUUGAAGGUUGACAACUGGGAAAAUAGAGAGGAUGAAUCUUGAUUGGACGAAAUUAAUUACAUAAAGAGGAUAAGGGUUGUUGAGUUCCUUGCUAAAUAUAGAAAUAUUUUGUGCGAAAAGGACCAAAUCCAAUUGGCUAGUGUUGUUGGUUUGGAUUUUUAUACGUUGAAUUUAAUUUCUUAACAAUUGGUGUCUUGAAAAAUGUUUUUGUUAACUCAUCUCAUUGUCUUGUAGGCUUUCACAAGUGGGAGAGGAAGAUCAGGAGAAUAACUAUAUUUGACUUAUUUUUGGUUGUUUAUGAUGCCAAUUUCUUUUAUUCCUUAAAUUUUAAAUUUUAUUUGGAUUCAAUAAACAAUCUAAAUUAUUGAGAAGGUAUUUAAUAAAAUAUUUAACAAACAUCAGUUUCCUUUAUUGAAUAAUUGUAAACCAAACAAAAACAAGCAAGAGUGGGAUGGGUAGUUCAACUAGUGGUUAAGCUAAUUGAGCUAAGGGUUAAGGAGCAGGAGGUCCAGAAUUCAAGUCCUGACAAAGGAAAAAAAAUUAAUACCUAACAACACCUAAAGUUGUUUAAAUGAAAAUAAAUUCUUAAUUUACCUAUUCCAAUUUAAUUUCUACAAUGAACUUAAAAAAUGUUUUAAAAUGAAUGAACGACUUAAAGGAAAUUCAAUAGCAGGUAAAUAAACAAAAUGCUGCAUCAUGUUUCCCUGUGAAGGGACUUGUAGAGUACUGUAGUGACAAAUUUCUGUUGAAACCUUUGAGUUGAUCUNNNNNNNNNNNNNNNNGCGUGUGUGGGAAACUAGGGACUCGACCAGCGUUACUUGUCGAAGCCUCUUCUGUUAAUGUCACCGGUAUUUGUGGUGGUAGUUCUGGCGGUGGCAUGUUGGAUUCAAUUUCAUAUAUGUUGUCGUAACUAGAUACUGGUGAUGGUGGAUCUGCAGCUUCAUUUUCUGCUCUUUGUGGGAUAUAAUCCUGUAACCAAUAAAAUAACAAGUAGAAGUUACAAUUAAAUCCCAACCUCUAAACUUACAUAAUGCAUUAUAGAUCAUAUUGCACCUGAUUUUAGGUUCUUUACAUAUUGUUUGCAGGACAGUAGGUUUCGGUUCAACGGCGUCAAUAGUUUUGUUCUGAACCUUACCAGUUUAACUUGCAUCUCAUAGUAGCAUAGGUUUGUUUUAUGAGUGCUUUUCUAAACCAAUGUAUUGUAUUUUGAGGUAAUUGCUUAAACCCCUUUCUUUUCGGUUUUUGGGUUACAGCUCUGAACCGUCCAAUUUGAUAGACAGUCCAAAUUGUUUUACUGUGUGAGUGAUCUAGGCCGUCCGAUCUCAAAUGAACAACCCAUACUUAUUACCGUGAGAAACAACGUGAAUGUUGGACAGCAGGGGAUCCUGGUCCAUGAGUUCCCCUCGGACUUCAUCCCGUUUUGUGGGUAGUUUUUCAUAUGAAAUUAUAUCCUACAUGUAUUUAGGCUAUUUGUGCGGCCGGUGUGCAAAUGUUAGUAAGUUAGCAGGUACGUUAGNNNNNNNNNNNNNNNNNNNNNNNNNNNNNNNNNNNNNNNNNNNNNNNNNNNNNNNNNNNNNNNNNNNNGACUAUAUUGGACACAUGAAUCAGUACAUACAUAAUACAUAUUCUCCUUUAAGCAUAAGGAAACACAUUCCUAGAACGAUAUAACACCAAAUGUUACAAAAAAUAGCACAGCAGCAUGAAGGCAACAUUACAAACGCGAUAAAGACUAAAUUGAAUUGAUUUUCAUGCUACUGGUGAUAGUAAUAAACAUCACAUAUGAAUGUGUAAUUGACUAGAUCAUGUGUAUGUACAAUAUUUAUGUAUCAAAAAAGGUAAACCAAGAAAUUACCUGCAAAUCCAAUAUAUUGUACCCAAAACCUGAAUCUUGAUUAAAACCUGAUGGAUAUUCUGGAGCAUGUGUCCAAUGACCAUCUACAUUGAAACGGUAAUAAUAGAUAUCUAUUGGAAGGGUUUUCUCAAUGACAAAGUUAUUUUCACCUACAUUCUGCAAGGCCUCCCUACGGAACAAAGAGUAAAAAAUUGUCGUGAUGAUGAUGAUGAUGAUGUAAAAUAAAGAAUUAAUUGCAUAUUUGCUCAUUUAAGUUUACAGGUUGUCACAUAGAGUUUUAGACGAAAUUAACUUAAAAUUUAACGAAAAUAAGGAACGUAUGUUGACAUCAGUAACAUAAGGAUCAACUUAAAAGUUUUUUAACAUAAAAGACCAAAUAUGUUUUUAAAUAAAAAAAAAUGCAAUUAAGCGGAAAAUAAAAUAAGAAGUAAACAACUAUUGGUUAAUUACUCUGUUUGCCAGUUGUUCCAUGAUCCUGCAAUAGUAACAUUGAUGCCUCCAUGAAACCAUGAGAUCCUUACAGUUUUGUACCUUUGAUGAAUCACUGUUUCUACAUAUGACAGAUGAGGUUGUGCCAUCAUUCCACCAGGUCUUUGCAUGCCUUGCCAGGAACCUUGAAAUCAUGUAUUUCAAAUUCAAUUCUGAUUUUAUUUUGCUUCAGUGUUAGAAUAUAUAUAGUNNNNNNNNNNNNNNNNNNNNNNNNNNNNNNNNNNNNNNNNNNNNNNNNNNNNNNNNNNNNNNNNNNNNNNNNNNNNNNNNNNNNNNNNNNNNNNNNNNNNNNNNNNNNNNNNNNNNNNNNNNNNNNNNNNNNNNNNNNNNNNNNNNNNNNNNNNNNNNNNNNNNNNNNNNNNNNNNNNNNNNNNNNNNNNNNNNNNNNNNNNNNNNNNNNNNNNNNNNNNNNNNNNNNNNNNNNNNNNNNNNNNNNNNNNNNNNNNNNNNNNNNNNNNNNNNNNNNNNNNNNNNNNNNNNNNNNNNNNNNNNNNNNNNNNNNNNNNNNNNNNNNNNNNNNNNNNNNNNNNNNNNNNNNNNNNNNNNNNNNNNNNNNNNNNNNNNNNNNNNNNNNNNNNNNNNNNNNNNNNNNNNNNNNNNNNNNNNNNNNNNNNNNNNNNNNNNNNAUCAUGUAUUUCAAAUUCAAUUCUGAUUUUAUUUUGCUUCAGUGUUAGAAUAUAUAUAGUACAAUGUAAGAAUAAUCUAUUUUCUAAUAGAAUCAAUUUCUGAUUUUAUUUGCAUCAAUCUGAUUAUCACAUAUCAUUAAUUUCUACUUUUGGUACUUGGUGGAACAAUUUUAUUUUUUGUUCAAAUCUUGGUGUUUCACACUGUAUAUCUUUCUUAGCAUAAAAAAAAAAAACUGUAUAUCUUUCUUAAUUUAUUUUAUUUUUUCACUCAAUCUUUCUUAUUAUAUUUUCACUCAAUCUUUCUAAACUAUAAUAUAAUCUAAAUACAUCGAUUUUUUAAUACCUAACAAUUUUUUUACUUGUAAUAAUUAUCGGAGGGACUAUAUCAAUUGAAAUAUUACUAACUAGAAGAUUCAUAGUUUUUAUUUUGGCUUUCACCACCAGUUUAAUCUGGUUCGGGGGUCAGUUCUGGCAUCAAGUGGUUCCAACUUCCAACCCCCUCCNGGGGGAUCGAACUGUGGUCCUCUCUUCGAAGUCCAGCGUCAAUCACCACUGAACCAACUAACGAUUGGUUAGAAGAUUCAUAGUUUAAACCCUAUAGACUAAACAUAAUCCACNNNNNNNNNNNNNNNNNNNNNNNNNNNNNNNNNNNNNNNNNNNNNNNNNNNNNNNNNNNNNNNNNNNNNNNNNNNNNNNNNNNNNNNNNNNNNNNNNNNNNNNNNNNNNNNNNNNNNNNNNNNNNNNNCAUUACUAACAAGUGAUUAGAUUUAAGUGGUUAAUGAGUUUUUUGUAACACAUCCUUUUGAAGAAUCUCAAUUUUAUUCUCGAAGAGAAACAAUUUUUGUAUGAGAUUUUCCUAAUCCCUCGAUCGAACACCAAAUUACCAAAAUCCCUCUCAUGUGAACCAGCCCUGGCCAUCUAGAAUAGCAUCACACUUCUAUUAGAAUACUCAAUUUUAACUCAAUUGAACAAUUUUGUUUACUUCUCCCUCUUAAAACUAAAACACAUCCUAUGAGUUUGGUUGCAAACAUGACCCAUUUAGAGUUUCCUUAAAAAUUAAAUCCUUAAAAAAAAAAUCAUAAUCUUAAANNNAUGGUAUUCAUUCUAUUGAACACACACACAAAAAAAAAAAAAAAAUCAUCCUCACUCCUCAAACACACAAAGAAAUAAAAAAAAUAAUAUUUUUUAAAUAAAAACCCAUAAUUUCUCUUAAAUGAAAGAAAUUGAAAAAAAUAAUUAAAAAAAUCACGUGUCUCUCUAACCUGUGGCAUGACAGAGGGAGCUACAAAUCCAUUGGUAUUAAGAAAAAGUAUCUCAGAAGGCACAAAAACAAAAACAAAAACAAAAACAAAAACAAAAAAAACAAAAACAAGCAAGAAAUCUAAUUUAAUUGAUUUUGCUUCCAGUUAAUUAAAUUGGUGAGUGUUCUUUGUCUCCCGAUAAAGCGCGUCUGGCAAUAUUGAAAUUACUACGGAGUUAUAUAUAAGGCCGGUUCCGAGAUUUUGGAGGUCUAGGGCAAAGGAUAAAAAUAGAUCCCUAAUAAAAAAAUAAUUUUUUUUUAAAACGAACAUCAUUUAUUUAAAAUAUAAAUAACAUCAAUAAUAAAAAAAUAGUUAUAUUCUAAUCAAUAAUAACAAAAUACAUUUUCAAACUAAUAUCGAUAUUGUUUUUAAUAAAAAUUGCAAUAUAAUUUUAGAAAUUAAUUCUUUAUUUUAAGAGAAAUAAAUUAAAUCUUUAUUUUAAAAGAAAUAACAAAAUAUAGUUUAAGAAAAAUAAAGCAGUAAAACUUUCUAUGAAUUAUAAAGUGACUGUAUUUAUAGAUUUUUUUUUUAUUAUUUUAUAAAAAAACACAAUUUUUAAAAUAAAUUACGUAAUGUUUAAUAUGAAUGGGUACAAUUAUUUGUUGGUGGUAAUGGUAUGGAAGUGUAGUGGCCUAGUGGGCUCAACUUCCGUUUGUAAUUUUAAAUCUGCAAAUAAUACUUGCUCUAGUUUUAAUAUGAUGGGCUUGCAAAAAAAAAUUGAUGACCCAAUUUUUUAGAGGCCCUGGGCUGGGGCCCUGCUUGGCCCGGCCCAAAACCGGCCCUGGUUAUACAUUUGUGUAUUGAUAAGACAAUUCACUAUUUCUUGAAGCUCUAUCUCUCCCCCGGAUAAACCAUAUAGCCAAGAGAAACCAUGAACCAGAAUAGAAGAACUUGUCUCACCCAUGAGUAAAUAUUUCAUAGUAGCCUUAUUAUACCGUACAUCUUUCUUCCUUCUAAUGGCGUUUCACAUUUCCCCUUAAAUGACUGACUUCUCUCUCAAGCACGGUGUUGAUCCAUGAUCCACAAGUCGAGAACCUAUCACGAAGCUUUAUCAAAUUCACAACCACCAAUGUCGAUUCUCCCAAAUUGAUAAUCUCGAGAAAUGCUACAACCGCGAAGGUAGGAACAAUCUCAGUAGAUACAAUUUUUUGUCAGACUUACUUGUGGUUGAACUCUAGGUUACUGGCCCCUUUCUGCUGGGAACUAGAUGGUUAAUACUCCCUAUGCUCUUUUAAGUGUCGUUUUAGCAUAAAACUCUCCAACCAAAACAGUAGAUUGUUGUAUUCUUUUUCUAAUUCUACCCAUAUUUAAUCCAUCAUUUACUUUAUCUUUUCUAAUAAAUUUUGUAUAUUCACUCUUCCUCUCUCCAAUAAAUUUUAUGAAAAAUAUGAAGUAGAGUUAUUGAGAAAUGAUGUAAUUGACAAAUUGUACCUUAAACUAUCAAAACGACACUUAAAUAAACAAAAAAUUAUUCUAAAACGACACUUAAAAAAGAACGGAGAGAGUACCAAAAACAAAAAGUGAAAGAGAUACAUAAAUGUAAUAGGAGUUUCGUAAAUAUAAAAUAAAAUAAUAAGGAUUCAAAUUUAUAUCCGUCUUGUAUUUCAAUCAUAUAUGAUGUUCAUUCUCACAUAACAUGUAUGACUUUUUUUUUACGUAACAUGUAUGACUUAAAUGGUCAUGUUUAAUACAUAAAAAUGAGAGGUAUUAUUAUUUACAAGAUAUAUUUGAUUUCUAUAGUUGUUUUGUUGGUGUUAUUUGUUAUUGAUUUGCAUGAUUAUAGUCAUAUUUAAUCCGUGAUAUGAGAGAAAAUAAUUGAGUGUGAAUGAUCCAAUAUUCAAAAUUCAUUUUUUUAAUUUAAAAGUAAUAAUAUAUUUAUUUUAUUUUAUAUUUUCUUUUAUUAAUAUUCGCAACACUUAAUUUUUUGAUUAAAUAUAAUACCUUUUCUUUAAAAAAAUUCUUCCUUGAUUAUAAAACUCUUAUUCAAGUUCAAACUAAUAUAACAUUCACAAUUGGCAACAGAAACCUGCUCUUGAAGUAACUUAGCUUUAAAAAGGGUGUUUGAAUAUAAUGCAAAAUCAGCGUUGACUAUUUAUUACUUAACUUCGAAUUCAAACCUUUGCAGCACCUAAAAAAACCAUGACUGGUUCCUAGUAUUAGUAUUACUAUUUUUUAUUCAUUGCAUUCAUGUUGUAAAUAUCAUAUCCCAUAUUUCUCAAUUGUAUUGUAACAAACUAACAAUGGCAACCAAUUCUUUGAAGUUUACUUUGUUGACUAUUUUCAUUUUGCCAUGGCUGUUUCUCCAACUUUACCAUGUCAUGCUGCACGCCUUCCAUUAGCAGGUAAUUAAGCACACUAUGCCACCUUUUUUUUUUUUGUUUUGUUGGUAUUAACUCUCUAGUUCUCCGGGGAAAGAGACCUCGGUAAUCUAGAGUUCAGUCACGAGGUAAGUAAAGUCUGAUUAAAAAUUGUUUCUACCAUGAAUCGAACUUAGGUUCUCCCACACUAUGUCUCGUUUUAAUUACAUAUAACAUAAACUAUUCAAAUAGAGAAUUCAAUUAAUUGAUCAUGCCUUAUCAUAUACUAUAUGGUUUUGCAUAUAUGAUGAUUAAUGGUUUUCAUGAAGUUUAUUUUUUGAUAUGCAGUUAGUAGGCCCAUAUGUAUUGCAUGUGUAUGUUGUACUCCACCACCUACAGGCUCUUGCUGCAACAAGUGUUGUGCUUCUCCAAUUCAAACUCAGAAUAUUGAUCAAUCUCAUCCAUAGUAUGGAAAGCUAGCACAUGCCUUAUUGUAUAAAGUUCUUAAUCAUAUCUAUUAUAUAUGAUUCUUAUUUUCAAAUAAUUCGGGAGUACUCUUUUAAGUCUCUCAUGUAAUUUCAUAUAUGUGUAACAACGAUUCAAGUUAUCGACAAAGCAAGAAAAACUUAGAGUAAAUCCCAAAUUAUAUUUACAGUACAUAAUAUAUUACUUUUGAAUAUAAUAACAUACAAAAAUUCUUUCACUCGCGCAACGUGUGACUCUCAUUUCUAGUUUUAAUUAAAUUACUACCUCGCCAGAGAGCUCUCACCACUAAUUCUGUCAAAGGAUACAUAAUUUAAGGCGUCUGGUAAACUCUCAGGGUCAGGGGUGUAAUUAGAGUCAGGCAAAUCAGUGAUCUUGUUCUCGAAACAUUGUUUCAGUUCCAUAACUACAUGUGUCAUGGUUGGCCUAUUGAUUGAAGUUCUUGCUACACAAGCCAUUGCAAUAUCUAAGGCUUUAGUUGCAUAGUUAAUAUCGAAUUCUCCCUUUAAUCUGGGAUCCACGAUAUCUUUUACCCCGUUUUCCAGCAGCAUAGAACUAACCAGUUGAAUAAUAUGGAUUUUCUCUUCGGUUUUGGUUAUGGCAGGCUGUCCUGUAAUUAUCUCGAGCAAAACUACUCCAAAACUGAAAACAUCACUUUUUUCUUUCAACCUGCUUAAUCUAUUGUACCUGCAAAAUAUAAAUUUACAUUCAACAAUUUCAUAUGUAUUAAGAAAAUUUGAUAUUGUAUUAAUUUUCCAUUUUGUGUAUUGAUGUUUGUCAAAUGAAACUUGUAUUUAAGGAUGGAGUAGUAUUAACUCACUCAGGGUCGAGGUAUCCUAUCGUGCCAGCAACAACCGUGAAGAUAUGAGUGUCACCUUCGUUAGGAAAGAUCUUUGACAACCCAAAAUCAGCUAGUUUACCUUGGAAUUUUUCAUUUAGUAAGAUGUUUUUAGAUUUAACAUCUCUGUGAACAAUUGGCGGAUUGCAGCCAUGAUGCAGAUACUCCAAUCCUACAGUUGAAUGUUCAAAUUAAGUUAAGUUUUGUUGCAUAAAAUGUAACUCUUUAUGAGCUAUAUUUCGAUCGAUGAAAAUCAUAAAACUAAUGACCAAAAGGAUUCAUAUAUACUACUACUCACCUUCUGCAGCGUCCACUGCAAUUUGAAGUCGUUGAUUCCAACUCAAUAUAUUUUCAUUUUUAUCUGUAUUCAUGAUAAAAAGAAAUAUUGUUUUAAGAUUCAUACAAGCUGAACAAGUUUUUGACUAAAUUUUUGGGCAUCCUUUGACGAUGUAGAUGUUUUACUUUUAUGCAGAUGACAGAUAUUCGAUACGAAUUGCUUGAAUAAAUAUAAUAUUAUAACAUAUUGACUUGAUCAUGAACAAAACCUGAUAAGUGCUUGGCUAAGUCUCCAUUAGCCAUAUACUCAUAGAUGAGAGCCAUGUUGGUGCCAUUAUCACAGUAACCUAUAAGACCAGUUAAGUAUUUAUGAUGAACUACAGCAUAAAGUUUGGCCUGAAAAGAAAACCAUAAUUCCUCCGGUUAACAUAAAACUCGUUAACUAUACACGCGCGCGCGCGCGCGCACACACACACACAUACACACAGGCAUGAUGAAAUUUUCCAGUUAAUUAAUGAUACUACCUCUGCUUGGAAUUGCAUAUGUCCUUGAGCUGAUUCGGAAGAUAACAUUUUGACAGCUACCUCCGUAUCAUGAUCAAUCCAGCCAUGAUAGACAGUUCCAGAUGCUCCUUUCCCCACAACCUUUUCAAAGUUUC
rnacentral:lncRNA from 1 species